UACGUAGGGGGCAAGCGUUGUCCGGAAUCAUUGGGCGUAAAGCGCGCGUAGGCGGCCCGGUAAGUCCGCUCUGAAAGUCCAGGGCUCAACCCUGGAAAGCGGGUGGAUACUGCCGGGCUAGAAUCCGGAAGAGGCGAGUGGAAUUCCUGGUGUAGCGGUGGAAUGCGCAGAUAUCGGGAGGAACACCUGUGGCGAAAGCGGCUCACUGGACCACAACUGACGCUGAGGCGCGAAAGCUAGGGGAGCAAACAGG
rnacentral:rRNA from 1 species